rnacentral:misc_RNA from 1 species
GAUGAAGAACGCAGCGAAAUGCGAUAAGUAAUGUGAAUUGCAGAAUUCAGUGAAUCAUCGAAUCUUUGAACGCACAUUGCGCCCGCCAGUAUUCUGGCGGGCAUGCCUGUUCGAGCGUCAUUACAACCCUCAGGCCCCCGGGCCUGGCGUUGGGGAUCGGCAGAAGCCCCCUGUGGGCACACGCCGUCCCGCAAAUACAGUGGCGGUCCCGCCGCAGCUUCCAUUGCGUAGUAGCUAACACCUCGCAACUGGAGAGCGGCGCGGCCAUGCCGUAAAACACCCAACUUCUGAAUGUUGACCUCGAAUCAGGUAGGAAUACCCGCUGAACUUAAGCAUAUCAAUAAGCGGAGGA